rnacentral:miRNA from 1 species
UUUGGCACAAUUUCAUUGGCAACC